rnacentral:rRNA from 1 species
UUAAGCGACUAAGCGUACACGGUGGAUGCCCUGGCAGUCAGAGGCGAUGAAGGACGUGCUAAUCUGCGAAAAGCGCCGGCGAGGUGAUAUGAACCCUUGACCCGGCGAUGUCCGAAUGGGGAAACCCAGUGCAAUCCGUUGCACUAUCGUUAACUGAAUACAUAGGUUAACGAGGCGAACCGGGGGAACUGAAACAUCUAAGUACCCCGAGGAAAAGAAAUCAACCGAGAUUCCCCCAGUAGCGGCGAGCGAACGGGGAGCAGCCCGGAGUCUGAAUCAGCUUGUGUGUUAGUGGAACGGUCUGGAAAGUCCGACGGUACAGGGUGAUAGUCCCGUACACGAAAGCACACAUGCUGUGAACUCGAAGAGUAGGGCGGGACACGUGGUAUCCUGUCUGAAUAUGGGGGGACCAUCCUCCAAGGCUAAAUACUCCUGACUGACCGAUAGUGAACCAGUACCGUGAGGGAAAGGCGAAAAGAACCCCGGCGAGGGGAGUGAAAAAGAACCUGAAACCGUGUACGUACAAGCAGUGGGAGCCUCUUUAUGGGGUGACUGCGUACCUUUUGUAUAAUGGGUCAGCGACUUAUAUUCUGUAGCAAGGUUAACCGUAUAGGGGAGCCGAAGGGAAACCGAGUCUUAACUGGGCGUUAAGUUGCAGGGUAUAGACCCGAAACCCGGUGAUCUAGCCAUGGGCAGGUUGAAGGUUGGGUAACACUAACUGGAGGACCGAACCGACUAAUGUUGAAAAAUUAGCGGAUGACCUGUGGCUGGGGGUGAAAGGCCAAUCAAACCGGGAGAUAGCUGGUUCUCCCCGAAAGCUAUUUAGGUAGCGCCUCGUGAACUCAUCUUCGGGGGUAGAGCACUGUUUCGGCUAGGGGGCCAUCCCGGCUUACCAACCCGAUGCAAACUACGAAUACCGAAGAAUGUUAUCACGGGAGACACACGGCGGGUGCUAACGUCCGUCGUGAAGAGGGAAACAACCCAGACCGCCAGCUAAGGUCCCAAAGUCAUGGUUAAGUGGGAAACGAUGUGGGAAGGCACAGACAGCCAGGAUGUUGGCUUAGAAGCAGCCAUCAUUUAAAGAAAGCGUAAUAGCUCACUGGUCGAGUCGGCCUGCGCGGAAGAUGUAACGGGGCUAAACCAUGCACCGAAGCUGCGGCAGCGACACUAUGUGUUGUUGGGUAGGGGAGCGUUCUGUAAGCCGUUGAAGGUGUGCUGUGAGGCAUGCUGGAGGUAUCAGAAGUGCGAAUGCUGACAUAAGUAACGAUAAAGCGGGUGAAAAGCCCGCUCGCCGGAAGACCAAGGGUUCCUGUCCAACGUUAAUCGGGGCAGGGUGAGUCGACCCCUAAGGCGAGGCCGAAAGGCGUAGUCGAUGGGAAACAGGUUAAUAUUCCUGUACUUGGUGUUACUGCGAAGGGGGGACGGAGAAGGCUAUGUCAGCCGGGCGACGGUUGUCCCGGUUUAAGCAUGUAGGCGGAGGUUCCAGGUAAAUCCGGUACCUUUUAACGCUGAGGUGUGAUGACGAGGCACUACGGUGCUGAAGUGAUAAAUGCCCUGCUUCCAGGAAAAGCCUCUAAGCAUCAGGUAACACGAAAUCGUACCCCAAACCGACACAGGUGGUCAGGUAGAGAAUACCAAGGCGCUUGAGAGAACUCGGGUGAAGGAACUAGGCAAAAUGGUGCCGUAACUUCGGGAGAAGGCACGCUGAUGUGUAGGUGAAGCCCCUGCGGGCGGAGCUGAAAUCAGUCGAAGAUACCAGCUGGCUGCAACUGUUUAUUAAAAACACAGCACUGUGCAAACACGAAAGUGGACGUAUACGGUGUGACGCCUGCCCGGUGCCGGAAGGUUAAUUGAUGGGGUUAGCCGCAAGGCGAAGCUCUUGAUCGAAGCCCCGGUAAACGGCGGCCGUAACUAUAACGGUCCUAAGGUAGCGAAAUUCCUUGUCGGGUAAGUUCCGACCUGCACGAAUGGCGUAAUGAUGGCCAGGCUGUCUCCACCCGAGACUCAGUGAAAUUGAACUCGCUGUGAAGAUGCAGUGUACCCGCGGCAAGACGGAAAGACCCCGUGAACCUUUACUAUAGCUUGACACUGAACACUGGUCCUUGAUGUGUAGGAUAGGUGGGAGGCUUUGAAGCGUGGACGCCAGUCUGCGUGGAGCCAACCUUGAAAUACCACCCUUUAAUGGCUGGUGUUCUAACGUAGACCCGUAAUCCGGGUUGCGGACA